rnacentral:misc_RNA from 1 species
CCAAUAGCGUAUAUUAAAGUUGCUGCAGUUAAAAAGCUCGUAGUUGAAUUUCGGGACCAAUAUGUCGGUCGUGCUUCGGUACGUACUGUCAUUAUUGGUUUCUCCCUUCUGAAGAACCUUGAUGUCAUUAAUUUGGUGUCUUGGGGAAUCAGGACUGUUACUUUGAAAAAAUUAGAGUGUUUAAAGCAGGCUCGCGCUUGAAUACAUUAGCAUGGAAUAAUGAAAUAGGACGUUUGAUUCUAUUUUGUUGGUUUCUAGGAUCGACGUAAUGAUUAAUAGGGAUAGUUGGGGGCAUUAGUAAUAAAUUGGCAGAGGUGAAAUUCUUGGAUUUAUUGAAGACUAACUACUGCGAAAGCAUUUGCCAAGGAUGUUUUCAUUAAUCAAGAACGAAAGUUAGGGGAUCGAAGACGAUCAGAUACCGUCGUAGUCUUAACCAUAAACUAUGCCGACUAGGGAUCGGACGGUGGUUUUUUUAUGCCCCGUUCGGCACCUUCCG